rnacentral:lncRNA from 1 species
CCUGAUUUACCAACAUAACCUGUUUCUGGCCAUGCUGUGAAUCUGCAUUCUUUACUGUGUCCUUGGGAUACUAGGAGGAACCAGAGGAGCAGAUCCUGCUAGGAGGCUAAGCAUGAAGAAGGAAUUCAAAGAAACCUUGUGGAGAACGAAGACACAGCAGGGAGUCUCUGAUCAAGUGCCACAUCUUUAGAGAAGCUUUUCCAAACAACCGAUUAUGAAGUACACAUUAACAAUGAAGCCUCUUUUCAAGUAAAGAAGUUUUAUUUGAUAUGAUUAAAAUAACUAUAACAUAUAUGCGAAAUAUGAAGCCAAAUAAUAAAAUUAAGAAGCAUGGAUCCAUCAUUCUACUCAAAAAGCCUUCAAGCUCCAGAUAAUCCUCAGUGAGGUAUACUGUCCGCUCAAUAUCCAAGAGUCACCCUUCUACAAGGGACCUCUAGACUGCCCAUAAGUGAGACAUGACAGAGGUAAAGUCAUGCUCCUGUCUCCCUUGGACCUGGCUGGAAACUGCAUUCAUCAACCCAUGGAACCACCCCCCUGCCAUGAAAGCUAGCAAGAGGCCAAGACCCACAGAACAACCACCAUCAUCCCUCUGUCAGCAGGAAGCGGUUACAAAAGACUAACCUUUGCCCAUUUUCCCCAAAGAAUUGGGGUCUUGGAAUCUUGAGGGAGGAAAUGUUACAGUAGGUAGCUAGUCAGACAUGAGCAGAGCAGAAGAGGGCUUACACACACACACACACACACACACACACACACCCCACACACAAAGAAUCCUGGGCAACCAUCAGGCGAUUGUAAGGUGGUUGUUAACUGUGUCUCUAAAAUAACGAUUGGUCACAACCAGUGCAAUGGAAAGGCAGUCUCUCAAUAAACAGAAACACCUGGAGCUGAUGAUCAGCAGCUUCCUGAUCAGGUCUCAGAAGUUUGGCAAGCUGGCCUACACAUGCGCACUAAGAGGCAAAAUGGCACAGUUUAACUGGUAUAUGACUUCCAAUGGACAUUCAGCAUGUAAGGGAAAAAUGCCUCAAGUAAGCAUGCAUACAACUCCACUAAACACACUGUGCAUGCUCCCCUCUCAAGUGCUGGCAGGCCAGUGCACAUGGGGACAGCCCACCCCAAAGAAAGUCUCAAGGGUGUAGGGAUGCAAGACCCCGGGAAUAUGCCAAUGUAUUAAACCCUAAGUCAAAAGGUCAAAUCAUGCACUUGUCUUUCAAGUCACCCACUUGACCCUCUUCCAAGUGUACUUUCCUUCCUUUUGUUACUACUCUAAAGCUUUUUAAUAAAUUUUCACUUUUUGAAUUCUUGUCUGCAA